GAGUUUCCUCUGGCUUUUCCCCGCUCAGACAUAGUUCACCAUCUUUCGGGUCCCGACAUGUAUGCUCACACCCGAACCCUUCACAGAAGAUCAAGGUCGGUCGGCGGUGCACCUUUCAGAGGGAACCCACCAAUCAGCUUCCUUACGCCUUACGGGUUUACUCGCCCGUUGACUCGCACACAUGUCAGNNNNNNNNNNNNNNNNNNNNNNNNNNNNNNNNNNNNNNNNNNNNNNNNNNNNNNNNNNNNNNNNNNNNNNNNNNNNNNNNNNNNNNNNNNNNNNNNNNNNNNNNNNNNNNNNNNNNNNNNNNNNNNNNNNNNNNNNNNNNNNNNNNNNNNNNNNNNUAUAAUCCCGAAUAGAUUCAGAAUCUUUGGUUCAUGUUUCAAGACGGGUAGAAUGGGGAGCCCACAGGCCAGCGUCCGGAGAGCAGAUGCCGAAGCACACCAGAGGCGCGCGCUGCCUACCACAAUCAAGGAGACAACUUUCCACGAGCGUAUCAAAAACCUGGGCUUUGGCCGCCUCCCAGUAAACGCUGGUCCACGCCCCAAAUCGAUCGGGGGACCAGCUCAACACCGUUCUACAUCCGACCGGGGCGCAUCGCCGGCCCCUAUCUGCUUCUCUCCAGACAAUUUCAAGCACUCUUUGGCUCUCUAUUCAAAUUAAUCCGCAGGCUCCACUCCUGGUGGUGCCCGUCUGUCGAUUCCUUUAAGUUUCAGCCUUGCGACCAUAUUCCCCCCAGAACCCAAAGACAUUGAUUUCUCAUAAGCUGUCGGUUGAGUCCUAAAAGCAACAUCUGCCGAUCCCUGGUCGGCGUCAUUUAUGUUUGAGACUAGGACUGUAUCUGAUCGUCUUCGAGCCCCAGCUUACGUUCUUGAUUAUUGAAAACAUCCUUUGAAAAUGCUUUUACAGUUGUUUGUCUUUCAUAAAUCCAAGAAUUUCACCUCUGACUAUGAAAUACGAAUGCCCCCGACUGUCCCUGUUAAUCAUUACUCCGAUCCCGAAGGCCAACGUAAUUUUCACCUCUGACUAUGAAAUACGAAUGCCCCCGACUGUCCCUAUUAAUCAUUACUCGGAUACCGAAGGCCAACGUAAUAGGACCAAAAUCCUAUAAUGUUAUCCCAUGCCAAUGUAAAUAGAGCAUAGGCUUGCUUUGAGCACUGUAAUUUCUUCAAAGUAACAGCGUCGGAGGCACGACCCGACCAAAUAAGGCCAGGAGCGCAUCGCCAGCAGAAUGGACAAGACACCAAUGCACACCUAAGGCGGACUGGCCGGCCAAUCCCAAAGUCCAAUUAUGAGCUUUUAACUGCAACAACUUAAAUAUACGCUAUUGGAGCUGGAAUUACCGCGGCAGCUGGCACCAGACUUGCCCUCCAAUGGAUCCUCGUUAAGGGAUUUAGAUUGUACUCAUUCCAAUUACCAGACUCAUAUAGCUCAGUAUUGUUAUUUAUUGUCACUAACUCCCCGUGUCAGGAUUGGCUAAUUUGCGCGCAUGCUGCCUUCCUUGGAUGUGGUAGCCGUUUCUCAGGCUCCUUCUCCGGAAUCGAACCCUAAUUCUCCGUCACCCGUCACCACCAUGGUAGGUGUUACACCGUCAAUUUUUUGCAAAAAUAGACACUGCACGGUAGCGGCACUCACAGCCACUCAGCCUUCACUUUUUCGCACACACAUAGCUUGACUUAGAAUUUUCAGACUUUAGCCAAACUAAGAACACACACAGAAUUUACGGGUAAAACCCAAGAUUUAUUAAUUCUCGCAGAAUAUACAAAGGACUCUCGUUUUAGACUUGGCUCACAUGUGUAAUGCUACUUUCCUUCUCCACAGACGGAAAUACAAUCUAUAUAAAGGGGCUGCCAAUGGCAGUUACAAAGGGGCAGUUACAAAGGGGGAGUUUCUACCAUGUGCCAUGUACAUGCCUUAGGUGGUUACGGACAGUGUCUACCACGUCUUCCACUUUGUAGCCAACCGCUCAUGUUCUUUGAUAAUGUCUUAAACUUCCAAGAACAUUUCUUGCACACCACUUCCUUACAUGCCAUGCACGAUGGCCUCUAGCCUUACUUAUGUUUUCCUUGUCUCUAGCCCAGCUUUGCCUUGGACCUUGCCUCGCACUUAAUUUCAUAGCCAUGCCCAGCAUUGAAUUAAGUCGUCCCACCGAUCAGCGCAUGCCUUUGUCAAGUGCCAUGCUUCCAUUUGCCAUUUGCCUAUGCCCACGAACAAAGGCCGCCUUGCCAACACUCCAGCUGCCAUGCCUAGCUGCCUUGCCUAAGUCCAUCACCAACUUAGACACACGCCCAGCCUUGUAUAUUGCUUGAUAACAUUUCAACGAACCCAUGUCAAGGGGCAAUGCACAAGCCCUUGACAUGAAUUCUGCCCGACAUCUGUCAAGUCUCAAUAUUAGGGGCUAACAGGAAUAUCCUCAAUUCCUUUGUAACUAGAGUGAAAGAUCGCAUACUUGUACAAAAAGCUUCUCGUAGACCAAAUAACGAGUCAAUUAAUCAAAUGGUCACUCAACUAUCCCAAAUUAUCUCCUCCAAUACUAGGGGUCUAACAAACCACCCCCACUAGUUGAACUCGACGCCCUCGUCGAGGUUAAUAUCAAGUAGUCCUCGAUUUGAUCUUCGAACGGACCACCAUAUCUCGCAACGAAGGUUCUAUCCAGUAAUACCUUGUUGCCCUCGAUCCAGUACCGCCGCACAGUACCUUCCUUCGCAUGAUUCAUUGUCUUUAUGUACAAUGGAUCAUUCAUAGCAUCCGACUUGAUUUUAUCAACAAAAUCUAACUCAAGUCUCGUAUGGGAAUAACCAGCAGCAAAGACUUCUUCCUCAUGAGCCGAAUACAUUUGCUCUGCUUCAUUCAACAUUCUUAUUUCAAAGGCCACAGGAUGACCUUCUUGAACCAGCACGCCUCCAACAGCCUUGUCGGAUGUAUUUGUAUGCACUUCAAAUAGCAACUCAAAUUCUGCAAGCCGCAAGAUUGGUUCUGAGGCAAUGGCUUCUUUCAACACACCAAAUGUAGACUAGCAUUUUUCCGACUAAAUCCCUUUAACGUUCUUCUUCAACACAUCCGUCAAAGGAGCAGCUUACUUUGAGUAACCAACAAUGAACUUCUGAUAAUAAUUAGACAACCCGGGGAAGUAUCUCAAUUCGUUCACAUAUUUAGGCGCCUGCCAUUCCACAAUGACCCACACCUUGUUCGGGUCCGUCUGCACCUGGUACUUGCUCACCAAGUGCCCUAGAAAUUUGAUCUCCUAUUUAGCAAAUUCACACUUCUCUAUUUUCACAUACAGCUUGUGCUCCCUCAACCGAGACAACACUUUUAUCAAGUGUGACAUAUGUUCAUCAAAAUUCUGACUAUAGAUAACAAUGUCGUCUAAGUAGACAACGACAAAGUCAACUAUGUACUCAAAUAGCCAAUCAUUCAUGAGGUUGCAAAAUGUAGCAGGGGCAUUUAUCAUUCCGAACGGUAUAACAAGGAAUUCAUAUGAGCCAUACCUCGUAACACAAGUAGUUUUAGGCUCAUCACCUUCAGCUAUCCGUAUCUGCCAAUAACCAGACCGUAUAUCAAGCCUCAUGAACCAUCAUGUCUUGCUCAAUCUGUCCAUCAACUCUUGCACCAACGGAACAGGAUAGCUAUUUUUCACCGUCACCUUGUUCAACUCCCUACGAGGUUGAUCAAGAAGCAUCGAACCCGGCAUACACUCUAUCUUGUGAUCAAUAGCCCUCCGUUGUGGCAGAUUUUUAGGCAACUCUGGUGCCAUCUCAUCUGCAAAGUCACUCAAAAUUUGAGCAACGCAGUCCGACACUUUCACCUUAACAUCAGGCUUCACUCAAACCCCAGCAUCAAGGAAAGUCUCACCUUCCUUCUUCAAACCUUUUUCAACCAUCAUGGCAGAAAUUAACGAAGCCUUACUUUGAAUUUCUUCUCUUCCAUAAAGAUAAACAACUUUCACGAAACCAUGAGACAUAUCAUUCACGAUCAUCACUCCGUCCAAGUGAGGCAAUGGAACAAAGUGAUGUUUCCGCAUGAAGUCAACUUCGAGAAUCACCUCAAACUCUUCCAUUAGAAUCAGCAUCAAAUUGACCUUCCCUUUCCAGUUCCCAACAUACAUUGGAACAUCAUAAGCCAUACCCACAAUGGCUUGUGCAUUGGUAUUCACAGUCUAUAUGUAAGAGGGACAUUUCAACACUGUCAAUCGUUACUUAUGCACCAAACUAGCACAAACAAAGCUGUGAGUAAAGCCAGUAUCUACCAUAGCUAUCACACUUCUGUCCCCAAUUCUUAUUUCGAUGUGCAUUAGCAAAUAAUGAGGGUUUGUCUUGUGACUUGUAGCAUUCAGCAACGAGAUGAAAUUGAACAAUUCCAAAUGAUUUAUUAAGGCAGCAACAACUUCUUUGCCUUCUCCAUACCGAUUAUUUUCUGUAGCAAGCAAAGCAUUUACCCGCCCUCGAUUAGGACAGUUCACGGCAAGAUGAGGUCCUCCGCACGUCCAGCAACCAUCAGUUUUCCUGUUUGCGACGCCUUUGUUUUGAACAGCCACAUCAACAACCUUGCCCUUUUCAACGACUUCUUCUCGAACUUCCUUCCUCCAUUCCCCUUUAUUCUCCACCCGUUUGUUAGGUAUUGAAGUAGAAGGAAUAUCCAAAAGAGUACUGGUGCUGCGAUAAUUCACCAAGGAAUCCGCUGCAGCCAUUGCACUUGGGAGAUCCUUCAUAGUCUCUCUCCUAAGUUCAUUCUGCGCCCAUGCCCAGAAAUAAAGAUAUGCAAUUUUUCGUCCUCCGACAUAUUUUGAAUAUCCAACAUUAAGGAAGAGAAUUGCUUAAUAUAAUCCCGAAUAGAUCAUGUUUGUCGCAAGUGUUUCAAAAGGUCUCUAGCAAGCCAAGAUGCAUUGCUAGGCAAGAAUUGGUCCUUUAUUUAUUUUCUGAGUUUCUCCCAUGUAUCAAUUUUCGGUCUGCCCGCACUUUCAUCGUCCACCAUACGAGUUCUCCACCACAAUUUAGCAUCUCCCGUUAGGUACAUGCUUGUAAUUGUGACCUUCUCUGCAUUUGGAACUUUGGCAGCAACAAAAUAUUGUUCCAUGUCCCACAGAAAAUUCUCCAGUACAUGCUAGUAAUUGUGACCUUCUCCGCAUUUGGAACUUUGGCAGCCACAAAAUAUUAUUCCAUAUCCCACUGAUAAUUUUUCAAUUCUUUUGCACUACGCGUUCCACCAAACGCCUUUGGAUCAGGAAUCUUUACCUUCGAGCGUUCUUCAUUGCCUUGGCCUGGAGCAGCCAAUGCCCGUCGAAGAACAGUGAUUUUGGCAUUCAAGUUUUGGACCUCCUUCUCCAGGUCUUCAACUUUGUCAUCCGUUGCCUCACAAGUCUGUUGGAUCCCAUCGCGAAAUUGAUCUGUCCCAUCCCUUAGAUGAUAAAUCUUGUAAUCAGAUCCGUCGAAGAAUAGUGAUUUCGACCUUCAAGUUUUCGACCUCUUUUUUCAGGUCUUCAACUAGGUCAUCCGUUGACUCAGAACUCUGCUGGAUCCCAUCGCGAAACUGAUCCGCCCCAUCAUUUAGAUGGUAAAUCUCUGUGUUCAGAUCUGCCAAAUCUAAAGGAUCAUCAGUCACGCCGAUUGGCGCCUCCAAUCGUUGCAGUCUAAGUCUGAAGUAGACCCACGAGCCAUGAUCAAGAGUUACAACCAAUGCUCUGAUACCAAUUGUUACAGGGUCAAUGUUUCACAAAAAUAGACACUACACUGCAGCGGCACUCACAACCACUCAGCCUUCACUUUUUCGCGCACACACAGCCUGACUUAGAAUUUUCAGACAUUCGCCAAACUAAGAACACACACAGAAUUUACGGGUAAAACCCAAGCUUUAUUCAUUCUCGCGGAAUAUACAAAGGACUCUUAAUUUAGACUUGGAUCACAUAUGUAAUGCUACUUUCCUUCUCCGCGGACGGAGAUACAAUGUACAUAAAGGGGCUGCCAAUGGCAGUUACAAAGUGGCAGUUAUAAAGGGGCAAUUUCUAAUAUGUGCCAUGUACAUGCCUUAGGUGGCUACGAGCAGUUGGUACCACGUCUUCCACUUUGUAGCCAACCGCUCAUGUUCUUAGAUCAUGUCUUCAACUUCCAAGCACAUGUCUUGCACACCACUUCGUCACAUGCCAUGCACGAUGGCCUCUAUCCUUGCCCAUGUUUUCCUUGUCUCUAUCCCAGCAUUGCCUUGGACAUUGCCUCGCCCUUAAUUUCAUAGCCACGCCCUACUAUUAAUUAAGUCGUCCCACCGAUCCGCGCAUUCCUUUGUCAUGUGCCAUGCUUCCAUUUGCCAUUUGCCGAUGCCCACAAACCAAGGCCGCCUUGCCAACACUCCGGCUGUCUUGCCUAGCUGCCUUUCCUAAGUCCAUCACCAACUUAGACACACGCCCAGCCUUGUACAUUGCUUGAUAACAUUUCAACGAACCCAUGUCAAGGGGCAAUGCACAAGCCCUUAACAUGAAUUUAGCGCGACAUCCGUCAAGCCAAAAUUAGAGGUCUAACACUAGGCCACUAUCCUACCAUCGAAAGCUGAUAGGGCAAAAAUUUGAAUGAUGCGUCGCCGGCACGAUGGUCGUGCGAUUCGUCGAGUUAUCAUGAAUCAUCGCAGCAACGGGCAGAGCCCGUGUUGACCUUUUAUCUAAUAAAUGCAUCCCUUCCAGAAGUCGAGGUUUGUUGCACGUAUUAGCUCUAGAAUUAGUACGGUUAUCCGAGUAGUAAAUACAAUCAAACAAACUAUAACUGAUUUAAUGAGCCAUUCGCAGUUUCACAAUGUGAAUUUGUUCAUACUUACACAUGCAUGGCUUAAUCUUUGAGACAAGCAUAUGACUACUGGCAGGAUCAACCAGGUAGCAUUCCUCAUUGAAGCCAGCGUUGCAUUAGCAUGGCCGUCCCAAAAGGGCACGACCAAGUCCAAGGCGAGCACAACCAUCAAUCGUAAGGAGCAUUCUUUGGGAAGAUAGGAGCCAAUGAAGGCCCCGUGCCCAUUGCAUUUACCGAAUCCGAGAGCCCGAGCAUGCUAAGUCUUGGACCAAGCCAUCGCAAGGCGAAGCCAGGACGACCUGGGACUCAACUACAGCUUUUGGUUCACCCCGCACGUCGAACGCGAAGGGAGAAAGGCGACCGAUUGUGCUUCAUAAUGCCUUGGCAUUAGGUAUGCAACACAGAAAACCGAAUUGCAUUUACCGAAUCCGAGAGCCCGAGCAUGCUAAGUCUUGGACCAAGCCAUCGCAAGGCGAAGCCAGGACGACCUGGGACACAAAUGCAGCUUUUGGUUCUCCCCACACGUCAAACGCAAUGGGGGAAAGGCGACCAAUUGUGCUAGAUAAUGACUUGGCAUUAGGCAUGGAACACAGAAAACCGACGUCAAACAAGCCUAAUUUUCGCUUGUGACAUGACUGAGAUGGCAUAAGAGCUAGGACAUCGCUGCUCGAGCAGGGAUCCAACCUAGCCACACAAGCCGAACACCACUCAGGUGCCGCAGGUACACUUGCCUCGCCGAUACAAAGCCGACACCAUCUCCAACACGUGACCCGCAACCAUGUGUUGUUGCCGAUGCCAACAUUGAAAAGCCAAGACAAGCCCCGCAAAGCACGAAUAGGGGUUUUGAACAAUGCCAGACAAAACCCACAACAACCGAUUGCAAAAGGCAAUUUACUGAGCUUUUCCUCAUGCGCAGGCACCUUGCGGCGCUACUUUCACGAUGUUUUUCUGUUCCAUUGCGAAAAGCCAUCAGCCGCCACGAGCGAUGUCGCCUUCCAAUGUUUCCCGCAACACUCGAUGGCAAUCAGCAACUUACUAAGCUUCGCCCUGUGAGCAUGGAACCUUGCGGCGGUACUUGCACGAUGCUUUGCCAUAUGUUGCCAAAAGCCAUAAGACGGCACAAGCGAUGGCGCCUCCUGAUGUUGCCUGCAACAACCGAUGGAAAUUGGCAACUUACUAAGCUUUUCCCCGUUUGCACAGCACCUUGUGGCGCUACUUGCACGAUGCUUUGCUAUUUUUUUGCCAAAAACCAUUAUCCGCCACGAGCGAUAUCGCCUCCCGGUGUUGCCCGCAACAACCGAUGGCAAUCAGCAACUUACUGAGCUUCGCCUCGUGAGCAUGGAACGUUGUGGUGCUACUUGCACGAUGCUUUACCAUUCUGUUGCCAAAAGCCAUCAUCUGCCACGAGCGAUGUUGCCUCCCGAUGUUUCCCACAACAACCGAUGGCAAUGAGCAUCUAUUGAGCUUCACCCCGUGCGCACGGCACCUUGCGGUGCUAUUUGCACGAUGCUCCGUCGUUCGUUGUCAAAAGCCAUAAACUGCCACGGAGGGGGGUUUGCAGAAAUAUAAAUCGAUGGAAAUAGGCAACUUACUAAGCUUCGCCCCAUGCACACAGUACCUUGCGGCACUACCUGCACGACGCUCUGCCGUUCAGUUGCCGAAAGCCAUCAAACGCCAUGUGCGAUGUUGUCUGCAACUUCCGAUGGCAAUCAACAUCUACUUAUCUUCGCCCCAUGCACAAGGUACAUUGUGGCGCAACUUGCACGAUGCUCCUCCAUUCUUUGUCGAAAGCCAUCAGUCGCCACGAGAGAUUCGAGACACAACCCACAACAACCAAUGGCAAUCAACAACGUACAAAUCUUGGCCCCAUGCGCACAGUACCUUGCGGCGCUACUUACACGAUGCUUGGCCUUUCUGUUAUCAAAAGCCAUCAGCCGCCACGAGCGAUGUCGCUUCCAGAUUUUGCCCGCAAAAACCAAUGGCGAUCAACAUGUACUAAGCUUUGCCCCAUGCGCACGGCACCUUGCGGCACUACUUGCAUGACGCUACACCGUUCGUUGCCAAAAUCCAAUGUUUGCCACGAGCGGUGCCACAACCCGGUGUACUAAUAGCCCACACGAGUAUUGCCGGCGCGGUUUGGGAACAUCGAGGACGUAGCACGGACAAGCCGUGCAUGCCCCCAAUGCCCACGCCCCAUGCCAGCGUCCCCCAUGCAUGCCCUUCCCUUCCUCGAAGCAAGCACCUCAGGUGCCUCUUAACACCUCUACCCCUCUUAUAUAUGCUUAAAAAAACCCAAGUUUCAAUAGUGGACAUGUUUUGGCCAGAGAAUCAUAAUAGAUAUGUACAACACCAAAUAGCACAAACCAAAUUACAACUUGGCUAAUAUAUUCACAAAUGACUAUUAAACAUUGUAAAUGAUAUUUUAUACAAAAAAAUUUUUUUUUAUAUAUUUUUAUUUAAAAAUAAAAAAUACUUAAUAAAAUACAAAAAAAUAUGAAAAUUAUUAUAAAAAUAGAAACAUGAUGGAGAAAAAUUCCGAUACAUCUUGUAAUAGUAUUACAUAUAAAAGAGUAAAUAUUUUUAUUGAAAAGUGAGAUAAGAAUAAUUUAAAAUAACAAAAAAUGCAUUAAAAUUACUAAAAAAUAUAUUAAAAAAAAUACAUAAUAUUAUUAUAAAAGCGUAUAGAUGACCAACAGCCAAUAAGCACAAGGCACCUCCAUUGUUGCAACCACAACAAGGGAUUCUGAUUUGAAAAAACCCCGCCUACCACAAAGCAUCGAUCAAUCGUCGCUUCUGGAUACUGCCCGAACCACCCCUACUUUCCACCGCCGCCGCCAACGAUCACCAACAUCAUUGCGCUUGACAUGUUUCUAAGCAUUGACUAGCAAUAGACGUAGUGCGACGUGGUGCGGUUUGGAGUUACGUGGUGCGGCUUGGUGCGACGUCGUGCCAUGGCCAUGUCUUGACACAUCCUGACACGUAGCAUGCCCAUAUCCUGCCAUGUCUUGCGACGUCCUGAUUCAUGCCAUUGCCACGCCCUGCCAUGUCCUGAUAGGUGCCAUGGCCAUCUCCUGACGUGUCCUGCGACAUCCUAACACGUGCCAUGGCCACUUCUGCCAUGUCCUGUGACAUCCUGAGUCGUGCCAUGGCCACGCCCUGCCAUGUCCUGACACGUCCUGACACGUGCCAUGGCCAUGUCCAGAUGCGUCCUAACACAUACCAUGGCCAUGUCCUGACGCGUCAUGUGACGUCCUGACUCGUGCCAUGGCCACGCCUUGCCAUGUCCUGUGACGUCCCAACUCGUGCCAUGGCCACGCCCUGCCAUGCCCUGACGCGUCCUGGCACAUGCCAUGGCCACGUUCUGACGCGUCCUAGCACGUACCAUGGCCGUGUCCUGACGCGUCGUGCGACGUCCCCACUCGUGCCAUGGCCACGCCCUGCCAUGUCCUGCGACGUCACGAGUCAUGCUAUGGCCACGCCCUGCCAUGUCCUGACGCAUCCUGACACGUGCCACUGCCAUGUCCUGACGCGUCCUNNNNNNNNNNNNNNNNNNNNNNNNNNNNNNNNNNNNNNNNNNNNNNNNNNNNNNNNNNNNNNNNNNNNNNNNNNNNNNNNNNNNNNNNNNNNNNNNNNNNNNNNNNNNNNNNNNNNNNNNNNNNNNNNNNNNNNNNNNNNNNNNNNNNNNNNNNNNNNNNNNNNNNNNNNNNNNNNNNNNNNNNNNNNNNNNNNNNNNNNNNNNNNNNNNNNNNNNNNNNNNNNNNNNNNNNNNNNNNNNNNNNNNNNNNNNNNNNCUGCCAUGUCCUGACGCGUCCUGACACGUGCCAUGGCCAUGGUACAUGUCAGGACGCGUCAGGACAUGGCAGGGCGUGGCCAUGGCACGAGUCAGGACAUCAUUGGACAUGGCAGGGCGUGGCCAUGGCACGAGUCAGGACGUCGCAAGACGCGUCUGGACAUGGCCAUGGUACGUGUAAAGACGCGUCAGGACAUGGCCAUGGCACGUGUUAGGACGCGUCAGGACAUGGCAAGGCGUGGCCAUGGCAUGAGUCAGGACGCCACAGGACAUAGCAGAGCGUGGCCAUGGCAUGUGUCAGGACGUUGCAGGAAUCCGUCAAGUAUCGCAUUUCGCUACAUUCUUCAUCGAUGGGAGAGCCGAGAUAUCCGUUUCCGAGUGUUAUUUGUGUUUCAAAAGAAGCACAAAUCCCCCGCGCACGCCGGGAAGGGGGCGUAAGGGGCAGGCUUUCAAUUAGUGAUCCUUAGCGCUUUCCUUGCCAGGGUUUGUUAAUCACGGCACGCACGCAACCGCGCUCAUCAGGGAUAUAGGACGAAGCAGCACGGACGGAGGCCGAAGCAUCUCGGCUGCAUCGCUCCCCAGUUUUUGAACAAGUUCACGGGUCGUUCUGCCUUGAAGGUUUCGACAGUGAUCCUUUCGCAAUUUCACCUACAGAAACCUUGUUACGACUUCUCCUUCCUCUAAAUGUUAUAGUGCGAUGGACUUCUCGCGACAUCGCAGGGAGCGGACCGCCGACGUCGCCGCGAUCCGAAAAUUUCACCGAAUCAUUCAAUCGGUAAGAGCGACGGGCGUUGUGUACAAAGGGCAGGUACGUAGUCAACGCGAGUUGAUGACUUACUAGGAAUUCCUCGUUGAAGACCAACAAUGGCAUUGAUCCAUCCCCUUAACGAUGAAAUUUCAAAGAUUACCCGGGCUUGUCGGCCAAGGCUAUAAACUCGUUAAUUACAUCAGUGUAGCGCGCGUGCGGCACAGAACAUCUAAGGGUAUCACAGACCUGUUAUUGCCUCAAACUUCCACGGCCUAUAAGGCCGUAGUCCCUAUAAGAAGCUGGCCCGGAAGGGAUACCUCAGCAUAGUUGUUCUUCUUUCAUAAAUCUAAGAAUUUCACCUUUGACUAUGAAAUAUGAAUGGCCCCGACUGUCCCUGUUAAUUAUUACUCCGAUCCCGAAGGCCAACGUAAUAGGACAGAAAUCCUACGAUGUUAUCUCAUGCUAAUGUAUACAUAAUGUAGGCUUGCUUUGAGCACUCUAAUUUCUUCAAAGUAACAGCGCCGGAGGCACGACCCGGCCAAUUAAGACAAGGAGCGCAUCACCGGCAGAAGAGACGAGAAGACCGGUGCACACCUAAGGCGGACCGGCCGGCCCAUCCCAAAGUCCAACUACGAGCGUUUUAACUGCAACAACUUGAAUAUAUGCUUUUGGAGCUGGAAUUACCACGGCUACUGGCACCAGACUUGCCCUCCAAUGAAUCCUCGUUAAGGGAUUUAGAUUGUACUCAUUCCAAUUACCAGACUCAAAAAGCCUGGUAUUGUUAUUUAAUGUCACUACCUCCCGUGUCAGGAUUAGCCAUUUCUCAGGCUCCCUCUCCAGAAUCGAACCCUAAUUCUCCGUCACCCGUGACCACCAUGGUAGGUGUUACAGGGCCAAUUUUUCAAAAAAAUCAACAAUGCACGACAGCAGCACUCACAGCCACCCAGCCUCCACUUUUUCGCACACACACAGCCCGACUUAGAAUUUUUAGACUUUAGCCAAGCAAUGAACACACACAGAGUUUACGGGUAAAACCCAACCUUUAUUAAUUCUGGCAGAACAUAAAAAAGAAUCGUUUAGACAUGGGUCACAUAUGUAAUGCUACUUGCAUUCUCCACAAACGAAGAUACAAUCUAUAUAAAGGGGCAGCCAAUGGCAAUUACAAAGGGGCAGUUACAAAGGGGCAGUUUCUACCAUGUGCCAUGUACAUGCCUUAGGCAGCUACGGGUAGUUGCUACCACGUCUUCCACUUUGUAGCCAACCGCUCAUGUUCUUAGAUCAUGUCUUUAACUUCCAAGCACAUGUCUUGCACACCACUUCGUCACAUGCCAUGCACGAUGGCCUCUAGCCUUGCCCACGUUUUCUUUGUCUCCAGCCUAGCAUAGCCUUGGACCUUGCCUCGCCCAUAAUUUCAUAGGCAUGCCCUGCUAUGAAUUAAGUCGUCCCACCGAUCUGCGCAUGCCUUUGUCAAAUGCCAUGCUUCCAUUUGCCAUCUUUCGAUGCCUAUGGACCAAGGCCGCCUUGCCAACUCUCCAGCUGCCUUGCCGAGCUGCCUUGCCUAAGUCCAUCACCAUCUUAGACACAUGCCCAACCUUGUACAUUGCUUGCCAACACUUUAACGAACCAAUGUCAAGGGGCAAUGCACAAGCCCUUGACAUGAAUUCUGCCCGACAUCCGUCAAGUCAAUAUUAGGGGUAUAACAAACCACCCCCACCAGUUGAAACUGACGCCCUCGUCGAGGUUAAUCUCAAGUAGUCUUCGAUUUGAUCUUCGAACGGACCACCAUAUCUCGCAACCAAGGUUCUAUCUAGUAAUACCUUGUUGCCAUCGAUACAGUACCGUCGCACAGUACUUUCCUUUGCAUGAUUCAUUGUCUUUAUGUACAAUGGAUCAUUCAUUGCAUCUGACUUGAUUUUAUCAACAAAAUCUAACUCAAGUCUCGUAAGGGAAUAACACGCAGCAAGGACUUCCUCCUCAUGAGCCGAAAACCUUUGCUCUACUUCAUUCAACCUUCUUAUUUCAAAGGCCACAUGAUGACCUUCUUGAACCAGCACACCUCCAACAGCCUUGUCGGAUGUAUCUGUAUGCACUUCAAACAGUAACUCAAACUCAGCUAGCGCAAGAUUGGUUCUGAGGCAAUGACGUAUUACAACACACCAAAUGCAGCCUAGCAUUUUCCAUACCAAUUCUCUUUAACGUUCUUCUUCAACACAUCUGUCAAAGGAGCAGCUUUCUUUGAGUAACCAGCAAUGAAUUUAUGAUAAUAAUUAGCCAACCCGAGGAAAGAUCUCAAUUCUUUCACAGAUUUAGGCGCAUGCCAUUCCACAAUGACCUGCACACCAAGCGCCCAAGAAAUUUGAUAUCCUGUUUAGCAAAUUCAGAUUUCUCUAUUUUCACAUACAACUUGUACUCCCUCAACCGAGACAACACUUUUAUCAAGUGUGACAUAUGUUCAUCCAAAUUCCGACAAUAGAUAACAAUGUCGUCUAAGUAGACAGCGACAAAGUCAUCUAUGUACUCAUACAUCCCAUCAUUCGUGAGGUUGCAAAAUGUAGCAGGGGCAUUUAUCAAUUCGAACGGCAUUAGAAGGAAUUCAUAUGAGCCACACCUUGUAACACAAGUAGUUUUAGACUCAUCACCUUCAUCUAUCCGUACCUUCCUUUAACCAGACUGUAUAUCAAGCUUCAUGAACCAGCAUGCCUUGCUCAAUCUGUCCAUCAAGUCUUGCACCAACGAAGCAUGAUAGUUAUUUUUCACCGUCACCUUGAUCAACUCCCUAUGAGGUUGAGCAGGAGGCAUCGAGCCCGUCAUCAACUCUAUCUUGUGAUCAAUAGCCCUCCGUGGUGGCAUCACAUCAGCAAAGUCACUAAAAAUUUGAGCGACGCAGUCCGACACUUUUACCAUAACAUUAGGCUUUACUUCAACCCCUAGCAGCAAGGAAGGUCUCACCUCCUUUCAUAAAACCUUUUUCAACCAUCAUGGCAGAAAUUAAUGAAGCCUUACGUUGAAUUUCUUCUCUUCCAUGAGGAUAAACAACUUUCACAUAACCAGGAGCCAUAUCAUUCAUGAUCAUCACUCCGUCCAAGUGAGGCAUUGGAACAAAGCGAUGUUUCUGCAUGAAGUCAAUUACGAGGAUCACCUUAAAAUCUUCCAUUGGAAUAACCAUCAAAUUGACCUUCCCUUUGCAGUUCCCAACGGACAUAUGAACAUCAUAAGCCAUGCCCACAAUGGCUUGUGCUUUGGUAUUCACAGUAUUUAUGUAAGAGGGACAUUUCGACACUCUCAAUCGAUACUUAUGCACCAAACUCGCACAAUCAAAGGUGUGAGAAGCGCCAGUAUCUACCAUAGCUAUCACACUUUUGUCCCCAAUUCUCAUUUCGAUGUGCAUCAGCAAGGAAUGAGGGUUCGUCUAGUUACUUGUAGCAUUCAGCAACGAGAUAACAUUCAACAAUUGCAAAAGAUUUCCUAAGGCACCAACAACUUCUUCGCGUUCUUCAUCCCGAUUAUUUUCCGUAGCAAGCAAAGCAUUUACCCGCCCUCGAUUUGGACAGUCUCUGGCAAGAUGAGGUCCUCCGUAUGUAAAGCAGCCAUCAAUUUUCCUGUUUGUGAUGCCUUUGUUUUGAACAGCCCCAUCAACAACGUUGCCCUUCUCAACGACUUCUUCUCUAACUUCCUUCCUCCAUUCCCCUUUCUUCUCCACCCGUUUGUUUGGUUUUGAAGUAGAAGGAAUAUCCGAAAGAGUAUGGGUGCUGCGAUAAUCCACCCAGGAAUCCGCUGCAGCCAUUGCGCUUGGGAGAUCCUUCACGGUCUGUCUCCUAAGUUCAUUCUACGCCCAUGCUUGCAUUCAUGAAAUAAAAUUAUGCAAUUUGUCAUCCUCCGACAUGUUUUGAAUAUCCAACAUUAAGGAAGAGAAUUCUUGAAUAUAAUCCCGAAUAGAUCCUGUUUGUCGGAAGUGUUUCAAAUUGUCUCUAGCAAGCCAAGAUGCAUUGCUAGGCAAGAAUUGGUCCUUCAUUUCUUUUUUGAGUUUCUCCCAUGUAUCAAUUUUCGGUCUACCUGCACUUUCAUCGUCCACCAUACAAGUUCUCCACAACAAUUUAGCAUCUCCCUUUAGGUACAUGCUAGUAAUUGUGACCUUCUCCGCAUUUGGAACUUUGGCAGCCACAAAAUAUUGUUCCAUGUCCCAUAAAAAAUUUUCCAAUUCUUUUGCACUACGCGUUCCACCAAACGCCUUUGGAUCAGGAAUCUUUACCUUCGAGCGUUCUUCAUUGCCUUGGCCUGGAGCAGCCAAUGCCCGUCGAAGAACAGUGAUUUUGGCAUUCAAGUUUUGGACCUCCUUCUCCAGGUCUUCAACUUUGUCAUCCUUUCAUUGCCUUGGCUUGGAGCAGCCAACGCCCGUCGAAGAACAGUGAUUUCGUCCUUCAAGUUUUCGACCUCCUUUUUCAGGUCUUCAACUACGCCAUCCGUUGACUCACAACUCUGUUGGAUCCCAUUGCAAAACUGAUCCGCCCUAUCGAUUAGACAGUAAAUCUCUGUAAUCAGAUCUACCAAAUCUAACGGAUCAUCAGUCACGCCGAUAAGCGCCUCCAACCGUUGCACUGUAACACGUACGUUCACAGUAGACCCACCCGCCAUGAUCAAGAGUUACAACCAACACUUUGAUACCAAUUGUUAGAGGGCCAAUUAUUCACAAAAAUUGACACUGCACUGAUGCGGCAUUCACAGCCACUCAGCCUUCACUUUUUCGCACACACAGCCUGACUUAGAAUUUUCAGACUUUAGCCAAACUAAGAACACACACAGAAUUUAGGUGUAUAACCCAACCUUUAUUAAUUCUCGUAGAAUAUACAAAUGACUCUCGUUUUAGACUUCGCUCACAUAUGUAAUGCUACUUACCUUCUCCAAAAACGAAGAUACAACCUACAUAAAGGGGCUGCCAAUGGUAGUUACAAAAGGGCAGUUACAAAGGGGAAGUUAUGGGGUAGUUUCUACCAUGUGGCAUGUACAUGCCUUAGGUUGUUAGGGGCAGUUGCUACCACGUCUUUCACUUUGUAGCAAACUGCUCAUAUUCAUAGAUCAUGUCUUAAACUUUCAAGCACAUGUCUUGCACACCACUUCGUCACAUGCUUGUACGAUUGCCUAUAGCCUUGCCCACGUUUUCUUUGUCUCCAGCCCAGCUUUGCCUUGGACCUUGCCUCGCCCUUAAUUUCAUAGCCACGCCCUGCUAUGAAUUAAGUCGUCCCACCGAUCAGUGCAUGCUUCCGCCCAGCUUUACCUUGGACCUUGCCUCGCCCUUAAUUUUAUAGCCACGCCCUGCUAUAAAUUAAGUCGUCCCGCCGAUCCGCACAUGCUCCGGCCUGGCUUGCCUUGGACCUUGCCUCGCCCUUAAUUUCAUAGCCACGCCCUGCUAUAAAUUAAGUCGUCUCCCAGAUCCGCGCAUGCCUUUGUUCACCAACUUAGACACACGCCCAGCCUUGUACAUUGCUUGCCAACACUUCAAAAAACCCAUGUCAAGAGGAAUGCACAAGCCCUUUACAUGAAUUCUGCCCGACAUCCGUCAAUUCAAUAUUAGGGGUCUAACAGUAGGUGUCACGGGGGCGUUUUUGACCAAGUCCAAAACCACACCUGCGCGGCAGUCAAAUCCCCUGCUUGACUCAGCCUUCCAAAAAACUUUUCCAGUUUUCAGCAAGUGUGGCCUUAGACAAAAUUUAAGCAAAUAAACAGAAAUUCAAAGAACACAAGCAUAUACAGGACAAAUUCCCAAACUUUACAUUAAUAUAGAAAACAUACAAAGGACCCUCACUAGCUAUGAACUAUCCGUCCGCUCACAGCCCACUUUCUAUGAUGAACACAAGUCGUUCUUGGCCAACACUAAGAUCUGCCCAUGCCAAACCUUAGCCCCCUUUGGAAACACUAGAAACUUCACGUUUCUCUCUUGUUUCCCACCAAUAAUUCCACCCGAAAAUACUUUCUCCUUAUGCUUAAUUAAAAGUCCCUAUUAAUAGAAUAUAGGAAGCCCAUAACUUAACUGCCCAUGACACUUGUCGUCUAUAGCUUUUUCCACUUGGAUCAUGCUCCUAACAUGUACUUGACAUCCCCAACUACAUAGGAUACAUUAUACACGAAAUGGGGCCAUUAUACAAGCAAUAAUCAGAUCAUGGGAUAAUGGGAGAUCAUGGGAGAUCAUGGCCUAAAAACAAGGUAACCGCCAACCGCUUUACAUGUGCAUUGCAUGUGCCAUUUACUUGGCCAGCUGAAUUUCGACCCUAAGGCUGCCUUGUGUCAUGCCUUAGCUCAACAUGACAUUGCCGAUGCCAAUGUAUCGCCCGCAAUCCGCUGCCAUGAUAUUUCCGUACACUCCCGGCGCCGCUGCCGCCUGCACACUACCUGGCCUUGUUUUCUACCUUGUCCGUGCCAAUCCUCAUUUUCCACGUGCCAUUGCUUGUAUUUUCUUUCCCAUAGCCUAGUCUUCCCCUACGGCUGCAUUGUGCCGUGCCUUAGGUAAACUUGACAUUACCCAUGCCAAUGUAUUGCCCCCAAUCCGCUGCCAUGAUUUUGCCGCACACGCCCGGCACCGCUGCCGCCCGCACACUGCCUUGGCCUAGUUUUUUGCCUUGUUCGUGCUAACCCUCAUUUCCCUCAUGCCAUUGAUUGUUUUUUCUUUCCCAUAGCCUUGUCUUAGAAAUUGAAAGCCUUUGCCAUCAACCCGCAUUUUCGCCUCGCCUUAGCUUAGCCCGCACAUAGCUGCCAGAAGCCAAGAGUGUCAUGCAACUGAUUUUGGUGCGCAUGUCGUGCCAUGCCGACCAAACAUUGUCGAUGCUGCCUAAUCAAGCCUUUUCCCAACGCGCCUUUCCAAUGCCAAGGCCUUGGCCAAUACUUACCCACAACAGCCCGUCGACCCGCACGAUUGUUUUGCCCGCACAUAAGCUAAUGACAAGGCCAUCAGUCCAAAUCCUUGCCAAAGUCGUGCCAUGCCUGAUGACAAAGAGUAUGCUCCUGACAAAACACUCACACCCUUUUAAAUAGUUGUCCUCGUCGAGCCAUCUCAAUUUAACAACCCCAGGGGGUUGUUGACAAACACCGCCCCGGGUGCUCCCCUCGCAUCUGCCACCAUGGCAUUUGCCUCCACCACUUGUUCAUGUUUCUCUGAAGCUAGAAUUGCAUUUACCUUAGCCUACACUGGACAGUCCCUCUUCAAGUGCGGUCCACGACAAGUAAAACAACCUUUGUACACGCUGUUCCUUUCCUUGCCAUUGUGAAUUUCCGGUCUCACAAUCUUGACAAGUUCCUCAUUUUCAGAAGCUUGACCCUUCCCGUUUCUCUUCCAUUCCCUUGCUUUGUCCUUCCUUUCGUUGGACUUUAAAUGCAAAGUUUCAAUAGGUUCAUCACCUAUAUUCAAGUCCGCCAACGCAUCUGCCGCUGCAAUGGCAGUAGAGAGGCUUUGAUCAUUUUGCCUUCUCAACUCCAAUUGCGCCCAGCCCUUCAAACCAGUCAUGAAGUAAUGCAGCUUGUCUUCUUUUGCCAUAUUACUUACAUUCAGCAUCAAGGAGGAAAAUUCUUUGACAUACUCCCUCACCGUUCCAUCCACGACAAGUUUGUUGGAAGGAAUCAGGAUAUUAAUUCGUUCUUCAUCAUCUCCCAAGUUCCAACCUUGGGCAGUCCAGCACUUUCCCCAUCUGCAACUCGUGUACGCCACCACACCUUUGCAUCAUCCGUCAAGUACAUUGGUGUGAUCACCACUUUUUCAUCAUCCGGCACACGUGCAGCCUGGAAAUACUACUCCAUAUCCUACAAGAAAUUAUCCAGUUCCUUGGCACUUUUUGCACCACCAUAAGCCUUUCGCUCCAAAAUCCUCAGCUUAGUGCGCUCAUCAUUUCUAGGGGCAGAAUUUUGUAAGGCCCUUCGAAGAUCAGCCACUUCCUCGCGUAAUUCAUCUUUCUCUUGGCAUACCAAGGACAUUUCUGCCAGCAUUGUCUCAUGUCUCGCUGCAUAAUCUUCCUCCAAAUGUUCCAUUCUAGUAAGAACAGAAGAGUCACAACCACUUUCAAGAGCCAACCCAACUAGUGCUUCCAAAUGCUCAACUCUUUGACGUUGUUCGGCAUUUGUGCCACCAGCCAUGUUCUAAAAAAUCCCCACGUAAUCUACCACUGAUCGUCUCGCCACUACCACGAUUGUGCUCAGCUCUGAAACAAAUUGUCACGGGGCCAUUUUUUACCAAGUCCAAAACCACACCCGCGCGGCAGUCAAGUCCCCUGCUUGACUCAGCCUUCCGAAACACUUUUCCAAUUUUCAGCAAGUUUGGACUUAGACAAAAUUUAAGCAACAAAACAGAAAUAUAAAGAACACAAGCAUAUACAAGAAAAAUUCCUAACCUUUGCAUUAAUAUAGAAAAUAUACAAAAGACCAUCACUUGCUAUGAACUAUGUGUCCGCUCACAGCCCACUUUUGACGAAGAACACAAGUCGUUCUUGGCCAACACUAAGAUCAGCCCAUGCCAAACCUUAUCCCCCUUUAGAAACACUAGAAACCCUCACGUUUCUCUCAUGCUUCCCACUAGUAAUUCCACCCGAAAUUACUUUCCCCUUCUACCUAGUUAAAGGCCCUAUUUAUAGAAUAUAGGAAGCCCUUAAACAUAACCGCCCAUGACACUUGUCGUCUACAGCUUUUGCCACUUGUCGGGCUUAGCUUAAACCAUGCUCCUAACAUGUAGUUGAAAUCUCCAACUACUUAGGACACAUUAUUCACGAAAUGGGGCCAUUAUAAAAGCAAUAAUCAGAUCAUGGGAUAAUGGGAGAUCAUGGCCUAAAAACAAGGUAACCGCCAACCGUUUUCCAUGAGCAUUGCAUGUGCCAUUUCUUUGGCUAGCUGAAUUUCGCCCUUAAAAGCAGCCAACGCCCGUGCAUAGGUCAAUUUGACAUUGCCCAUGCCAGUGUCUCUCCCGCGAUCCGCUGCCAUGAUUUUGCCGCACACACCUGGUGCCGCUGCUGCCCGCACACUACCUUGGCCUAGUUUUUUGCCUUGUUCGUGCCAACACUUAUUUCCCUUGUGCCAUUGCUUGUAUUUCUUUCCCAUAGCCUUGUCUUAGCUAUUGAAAGCCUUUUCCAUGAACCCGCAUUUCCGCCUCGCCUUAGCUUACCCCGCACAUAGCUGGCAAAACCCAAGAGUGUCAUGCCACUGAUUUUCGUGCGCAUGCCGUGCCAUGCCGCCCAAAAUUUGCGGAUGCUGCCUCAUCAAUUCUUUUCCUAGCGCACCUUGUCCAUGCCAAGGCCUUGGCCAACACAUUCCCACAACAGCCCGUCGACCCGCAUGAUACUUUUGCCCGCACAUAAGCCAAUGACAAGGCCAUCACGCCCAAAUCCUUGCCAAAGCCGUGUCACGCCCGAUGACAAAUAGUAGGGUCCUGGGAGUAGGUGUCACAGGGGUGAUUUUAGCCACUCGUAAUUCUGGCCGAGGUUCACCUCCGUGCGGCAGCCAAGCACAAACUUGACUCAGCCUUUCCAACACUUACUUUAAUUUUUGGACGAUUUGAACCUAGAAUGAAAAUAGUCAGCGAAAAACUGUAACAGACACACGACAUUACAGGAAUUUCUUCCCAACUUGUAUUAAUAAAGUGAAUACAAGAACAAAAAAGCCAAACCUAUGGCCAAGACAAAGAAUUCCCUAAUUCCCUGCCACAAAAUAAGAUUCCAAAAGCCAACCCUAUGGCCAAGACAAAGAAUUCCCCAAUUCCCUACCCAAAACAAACUUCCUACCCUUAGGAAGUGAUUUUGACUAAUAUGGCUUUGCACAAUUGCCUAGGCUAAGUUCUUACCCUUUUUGGCUAUACAUAGGCACAUAUUUAUAGGCUACAAUCAGUUGACAUGUAUAAAAAUGCGGGCACACUUUCUAGGCCAUGAUGAGCAUGUUUCGGGAGUGGUUGUAACCGCCAACUGCUCCUCUAGGCUAUGAUCCGCAUGAUUAGGGAGUGGUUGUAACCACCAACUGCAUCCCCUACUUUCUAGGCCAUGAUCAGCAAGUCUUGGGUUGUUGUAACUGCCCAACUGCAUCAUGUGCACAACACUUCUGAAAAUCGCUCCAUGUGCACUGCAUGUGGCCGUUGGCCAGCUGCUGCAUGCCUAAGGCUGGCAUUGCACCCAUCCUUGGCCUUUGACACUUCUCCGCUCAAUGCCAUUACCACAGAUCGUCGCCAUGAUUUUGACGCGCGCCCAUCCGCUGCCACAGUUGGUUGUUCUUGUGAAGUCUCCCCUACCUGAUCAACUCCACCUGUUACCAAUGCCAAUGCUGAUUUUAGCAUCUAGUCAUCAAGCCUUGAUGUCAUUCCCGUUGCUAAGUCGUUUGCCCACAUCCAUUUCCAUUGAUUGUCACGCCUUGUCAUGCCUUGUCUAGCCACGUCCUUUCCCCUUCUUGACAUGGCUUUGCCGCACAAGUACUUUGACAACCCGCAUGUCUAAGUAAAAUGCGCCUUGAUUCGCUCCAAGGUGCCUUUGUCAUGCCCCACAUAGUCGUCACGCCGAGCUGCCUGUCAUGAUGUUUCCCCAAUUUUGACUCAGCCAUUCCAACACUUUGUUUAAUUUUAGGACGAUUUGAACUUGGAAUGAAAAUAGGCAACGAAAAAAGUAAGAGACACACGAGAUUACAUGAAUUUCUUCCCAACUUGUAUAAAGUGAAUACAAGAACACAAUAGCCAACCCUAUGGUCGAGACAAAUAAUUCCCCAUUUCCCUCCCACAAAAUAAGUAUCCAAAAGCCAACCUUAUGGCCAAGACAAAGAAUUCACUAAUUCCCUACCCAAAAUGGACUUCCUAACCAUAGGAAGUGACUUAGACUAAUUUGGCUUUGCACAAUUGCCUUAAGCUAAGUUCUUGCUACUUUUGGCUAUACAUAGGCACAUAUUUAUAGGCUACAAUUAGUUGACAUGAAUAAAAACGUGGGCAAACUUUCUAGGCCAUGAUCUGCAAGUUUCGGGAGUGGUUGUAACCACCAACUGCUCCUCUAGGCCAUAAUUCGCUUGUUCAGGGAAUGGUUGUAACUGCAACUGCUCUCCCUACUUUCUAGGCCAUGAUCUGCAUGUCUUGGGUGGUUGUAACCGCCCAACUGCAUCAUGUACACAACACCCUUGAAAACAGCUCCAUGUGCACUGCAUGUGCGCGUCGGCCAGCUGCACCACGCCUAAGGCUGGCAUUGCGCCCAGCCUUGGCCUUUGACACUGCUCUGCUUUAUGCCAUCGCCAAAGCUCGUCGCCCAUGACUUUUCCGCGCGCCCAUCCACUACCACAGUUGGUUGUUCUUUUCAAGUCGCCCCUAUUUGAUCAAGUACGCCCGUUGCUAAUGCCAAUGCUGAUUUUAGCAUCAAGUCACCAGCCUUGAUGUCAUUCCCGUUGCUAAGUCGUUUGCCCACAUCAAUUGCCAUUGAUUGUCACGCCUUGUCAUGCCUUGUAUUGCCACGUCCUUGCAACUUCUUGACAUGGCUUUGCUGCACAAGUGCUUUGACAACCCGCAUGUCUAAGUAAAAUGCGCCUUGAUUCGCUCCAAGGUACCUUUGUCAUGCCCGACAUAGUCCGUCACGCCGAGCUGCCCUCAUGAUGUUUCCCCAAUUUUCAGGUUGUGCAACUAGUCCAUCAUGAAAAUACUUGUCACAACCCACACCUGCCGAGGGUCAUUGCGAGGGGUCUAAAAAACCACCCCCACUAGAAGAAUUUGUCGUCCUCGACGAACUAGCUUCCGCAUUUUUCAGCACCACCAUAGGUCCCAAAUAUGUUGUUGCUUGCUCUGGUUCUUCUUCACCUUUUUCUUCAGCAAGCAACGCUGAAAUCUUUUCAAUUCUUGGACAGUACCUCGCCCUGUGUGGUCCUUGCAGAUAAUAUAACCGUCAAACCUGCUACUUUGUCCCUUGUUUAUCAAAGGUCCAGCACCUUUCUUUUCCUUCUCAUUGUCGUUGCCCUCAACAUAAUUCUCCUUGUCGUUUCUAGCUUUCCUCCACUCUUUUGCCUUUUCCUUAUUCUCGUAUUUGGACUUUGAUGUCGUAGAGAAUUAAGAGCCAUGACUACAUCACAUAUUGGAAAUUAUGUAAAUUUUUUUCCUCGGACAUGUUGCUAAUAUGCAACAUCAAAGAACUGAAAUCUUCGACAUAUUCCCUAAGCGUUCCAGUUUGUCACAACUUCUUCAAAUGGUCUCUAGCAAUCCAGCCUGCAUUGCUAGGAAAGAAUUGCUCCUUCAACACUUUCUUUAACUUCUCCCAAGAGUCAAUCUUCGGCCUACCAGCACUUACAUCAUCUGCCACCCGCGUUCGCCACCACAAUUUUGCAGAGUCAACCAAGUACAUAGUCGUAAUUUUGACUUUUUCUUCUUCACGAACUUUGGCAGCCUGAAAGUACUGCUCCAUAUACCAGAGGAAGUUUUCGAGUUGCUAGGCACUCCUUGCGCCACUAAACUCUUUAGGCUCCAGAAUAAUGACCUUGGUCUGAUCUGCCCCAUGCUGUACUUUGUCAUUCCCAACAGCACGACGCAGUAACCCAUUUUCCAUUUUUAGAUCUGUGCACUCAUAGCUCAGUCUUUUUAACUCGCCUUUGAGAUAAGAAUGACAGGUCAUGAUAGUCAGAAAUUGAUCCCCGUCAGUAGUUCCGACAAGUGCCUCUAAUGCAGCAACCUUUUCCCUCAGUUCUGCAUUGCCACCAGCCAUUCUUCAAAAAAUUCGACCGCUGAAUGUUGUGUUGUCGCCCCGAUCAAGCCACGCUAUGAUACCAGUUGUCACAUUGGUCAUUCUAGCCACUCGUAAUUCUGGCCGAGGUUCACCUCCGUGCGACAGCCAAGCACCACCUUGACUCAGCCUUUCCAACACUUUGUUUAAUUUUAGGACGAUUUGAACUUAGAAUGAAAAUAGGCAACGAAAAACUGUAAGAGACAUACGAGAUUACAUGAAUUUCUUCCCAACUUAUUCCAUAAUUCCCUACCCAAAAUAGACUUCCUACCCUUAGGAAGUGACUUAGACUAAUUUGGCUUUGCACAAUUGCUGUAAGAUAAGUUCUUGCUCCUUUUGGCUAUACAUAAGCACAUAUUUAUAGGCUACAAUUAGUUGACAUGUAUAAAAACGUGGCUAAACUUUCUAGGCCAUGAUCAGCAAGUUUCUGGAGUGGUUGUAACCACCAACUGCUCCUUUAGGCCAUGAUCCGCAUGUUCAGGGAAUGGUUGUAACUGCCAACUGCUCCCCCUACUUUCUAGGCCAUGAUCUGCAUGUCUUGGGUGGUUGUAACCGCCCGACUGCAUCAUGUACACAGCACACUUGAAAACAUCUCCAUGUGCACUGCAUGUGCGCGUCGGCCAGCUACAGCACGCCUAAGGCUGGCAUUGCGCCCAGCCUUGGCCUUUGAAAUUGCUCCGCUUUAUGCCAUCGCCACAGCUCGUCUCCCAUGACUUUGCCGCACGCCCAUCCGCUGCAAUAGAUGGUUGUUCUUGUCAAGUCGUCCCUACUUGAUCAAGUACGCCCGAUGCCAAUGCCAAUGCUGAUUUUAGCAUCAAGUCACUAGCCUUGAUGUCAUUCCCGUUGCUAAGUCGUUUGCCCACAUCCAAUGCCAUUGAUUGUCACGCCUUGUUAUGCCUUGUCUUGGCACGUCCUGCCCGUCAUGAUGAUUCCCCAAUUUUCAGUUUGUGCAACUAGUCCAUCAUGAAAAUACUUGUCACAACCCACACCUGCCGAGGGUCAUUGUGAGGGGUCUAAAAAACCACCCCCACUACAAGAAUUUGUCGUCCUCGAAGAACUAGCUUCCGCAUUUUUCAGCACCACCAUAGGUCCCAAAUAUGUUGUUGCUUGCUUUGGUUCUUCUGCACCUUUUUCCUCAGCAAGCAACGCUGAAAUCUUUUCAAUUCUUGGACAGUCCCUCGCCCUGUGUGGUCCUUGCAGAUAAACUAGCCAUCAAACCUACUGCUUUGUCCCUUGUUUAUCGAAGGUACUGCACCUUGCUUUUCCUUCUCAUUGACGUUGCCCUUAACAACAUUCUCCUUGUCGUUUCCAGCUUUACUCCACUCUUUUGCCUUUUCCUUAUUCCCAUUUUUGGACUUUGAAGUAGUAGAGAAAUUAGAGCCACGACUACAACCCGUAUUGGAAAUUAUGCAACUUGUCUUCCUCGGACAUGUUGCUAAUAUGCAGUAUCAAAGAACUAAAAUCUUUGACAUAUUCCCUGACCGUUCCAGUUUGUCUCAACUUCUUCAAAUGGUCUCUAGCAAUCCACCCCGCAUUUCUAGGAAAGAAUUGGUCCUUCAACUCUUUCUUUAACCUCUCCCAAGAGUCAAUCUUCGGCCUACAAGCAUAUACAUCAUCUGCCACCCGCGUUCGCCACCACUAUUUUGCAGCGUCAACCAAGUACAUAGUCAUAAUUUUGACUUUUUCUUCGUCACACUUUGGCAGCCUGAAAGUACUGCUCCAUAUCCCAGAGGAAGUUUUCGAGGUUCUAGGCACUCCUUGCGCCACUAAACUCUUUAGGCUCCAGAAGUCUGACCUUGGUACGAUCUUUCCCAUGCUGUACUUCGUCAUUGCCAACAGUACGAUGCAGUAACCCAUUUUCCAUUUUCAGAUCUGUGCACUCCUAGCUUAGUCUGUUUAACUCGUCUUCGAGAAAAGAAUCACCGGUCAUGAUAGUCAGAAAUUGAUCCCCAUCAGUACUUCCGACAAGUGCCUCUAAUGUAGCAACCUUUUUCCCUCAGUUCUACGUUGCCACCAGCCAUUCUUCACAAAAUUCAACUGAUGAAUGUUGUGUUGACGCCCAAAUCAAGUCACGCUAUGAUACCAAUUGUCACAUUGGUGAUUUUAGCCACUCGUAAUUCUGGCCGAGGUUCACCUCCGUGCGGCAGCCAAGCACCAAGUUGACUCAGCCUUUCCAACACUUUGUUUAAUUUUAGGACGAUUUGAACUUAGAAUCAAAAUAGGCAACGAAAAACAGUAAGAGACACACGAGAUUACAUGAAAUUCUUCCCAAAUUGUAUUAAUAAAGUGAAUACAAGAACACAGUAGGCAACCUUAUGGUAGAGACAAAGAAUUCCCCAAUUCCCUCCCACAAAAUAAGUAUCCAAAAGCCAACCCUAUGGCCAAGUCAAAGAAUUCCCCAAUUCCCUACCCAAAACGGACUUCCUACCCUUUGGAACUGACUUAAACUAAUUUGGCUUUGCACAAUUGCCUUAGGCUAAGUUCUUGCUCCUUUUGGAUAUACAUAGGCACAUAUUUAUAGACUACAAUUAGUUGACAUGAAUAAAAACAUGGGCACACUUUCUAGGCCAUGAUCAGCAUGUUUCGGGAGUGGUUGUAACCACCAACUGCUCCUCUAGGCCAUGAUCCGCAUAUUUAGGGAAUGGUUGUAACUUCCAACUGCUCCCCCUACUUUCUAGGCCAUGAUCAGCAUGUCUUGGGUGGUUGUAACCGCCCAAUUGCAUCAUGUACAUGGCACACUUGAAAACUACCUUAUGUGCACUCCAUGUGCGCGUCAGCCUGCUGCAGCACGCCUAAGGCUGGCAUUGCACCCAGCCUUGGCCUUUGACGCUGCUCCUCUUUAUGCCAUCGCCACAGCUCGUCGCCCAUGACUUUGCCGCACGCCCAUCCGCUACCACAGUUGGUUGUUUUUGUCAAGUAGCCCCUACUUGAUCGAGUACACCCAUUGCCAAUGCCAUUGCUAAUUUUAGCAUCAAGUCACCAGCCUUGAUGUCAUUCUCGUUGCUAAGUCGUUUGCCCACAUCCAUUGCCAUGUCCUACGAUGUCCUGACUCGUGCCAUGGCCACGCCUUGCAUGUCCUGACUCGUUCCAUGGCCACGCCCUUCCAUGUCCUGACACGUCCUGACACGUGCCAUGGCCAUGUGUUGACGCGUCCUGACACGUCCUGACUCGUUCCAUGGCCACACCCUCCCAUGUCUUGCGACGUCCCGACUCGUGCCAUGGCCACGCCCUGCCAUGUCCUGACGCAUCCUGACAUGUGCCAUGGCUAUGUCCUGAUGCGUCCUAACAUGUAUCAUGGCCAUGUCCUGACGCGUCCUCCAACGUCCUGACUCGUGCCAUGGCCACGCCCUGCCAUGUCUUGCCAUGUCCUGACUCGUGCCAUGGCCAUGCCCUGCCAUGUCCUGCGAUGUCCUGACUCGUGUCAUGGCCACGCCCUGACGCGUCCUGACGCGUGCCAUGGCCAUGUCUUGACGCGUGCCAUGGCCAUGCCCUGCCAUGUUCUG
rnacentral:lncRNA from 1 species